UAGUAGCAAAAGUCUUCAAUUAAUGUGGAAAUGAUGGUGGUAUGCCCUGGGACACGUAUGUGAUAACAAGAGGAGAGACUGGAAACUAUUAUAAAUCAAAUUGCCACAUUAAAAGGCAAGAUCAGGAGCAGAUGAAACUGGUAUUUAGAAAAAAAAUUAGCAAGUAAAGUGAAGUUGUUUUAUCAGUUCAGUUCAGUUCAGUCUCUCAGUCGUGUCCGACUCUUUGCGACCCCGUGAAUUGCAGCACGCCAGGCCUCCCUGUCCAUCACCAACUCCCGGAGUUCACUCAGACUCACGUCCAUCGAGUCCGUGAUGCCAUCCAGCCAUCUCAUCCUCUGUCAUCCCCUUCUCCUUCUGCCCCCAAUCCCUCCCAGUAUCAGAGUCUUUUCCAAUGAGUCAACUCUUCGCAUAAGGUGGCCAAAGUACUGGAGUUUCAGCUUUAGCAUCAUUGCUUCCAAAGAAAUCCAGGACUGAUCUCCUUCAGAACGGACUGGUAGGAUCUCCUUGUAGUCCAAGGGACUCUCAAGAGUCUUCUCCAACACCACAGUUCAAAAGCAUCAAUUCUUUGGCACUCAGCCUUCUUCACAGUCCAACUCUCACAUCCAUACAUGACCACAGGAAAAACAAUAGUCUUGACUAGGCGGACCGUAGUCGGCAAAGUAAUGUCUCUGCUUUUCAAUAUACUAUCUAGGUUGGUCAUAACUUUAAUUCCAAGGAGCAAGCGUCUUUUAAUUUCAUGGCUGCAAUCACCAUCUGCACUGAUCUUCGAGCUAAAAUAAAUAAAUAAAUAAAUAAAUAAAUAAAAAUAAAGUUUAACACUGUUUCCACUGUUUCCCCAUCUAUUUCCCAUGAAGUGAUGGGACCAGAUGCCAUGAUCUUCGUUUUCUGAAUGUUGAGCUUUAAGCCAACUUUUUCACUCUCCUCUUUCACUUUCAUCAAGAGGCUUUUUAGUUCCUCUUCACUUUCUGCCAUAUCUGAGGUUAUUGAUAUUUCUCCUGGCAAUCUUGAUUCUAGCUUGUGCUUCAUCCAGUCCAGCAUUUCUCAUGAUGUACUCUGCAUAUAAGUUAGGUAAGCAGGGUGACAAUAUACAGCCUUGACAUACUACUUUCCUGAAUUGCAAACAGUCUGUUGUUCCAUGUCCAGUUCUAACUGUUGCUUUUUGACCUGCAUACAGAUUUCUCAGGAGGCAUGUAAGUUGGUCUGGUAUUCCCAUCUCUUGAAGAAUUUUCCACAGUUUGUUGUGAUCCACAUAGUCAAAAGCUUUUUGCAUAGUCAAUAAAGCAGAAGUAGAUGUUUUUUCUGGAACCCUUGCUUUUUCAAUGAUCCAGGGGAUGCUGGUAAUUUGAUCUCUGGUUCCUCUGCCUUUUCGAAUUUCAACUUGAACAUCUGGAGGUUCAUGCUUCAUGUACUGUUGAAGCCUGGUUCGGAGAAUUUUGAUCAUUACUUUACUAGUGUGAGAGAUAAGUGCAAUUGUGCAGUAGUUUGAGCAUUCUUUGGCAUUGCCUUUCUUUGGGAUUGGAACGAAAACUGACCUUUUCCAGUCCAGUGGCCACUGCUGAGUUUUCCAAAUCCGCUGGCAUAUUAUCAAAUUGGAUUAAAAAAUUUAAAUUGUAUUAAAAGAUUAUCAGAUUGAAUUAAAAAACAACAAGACUCAGGUAUAUACUGCUGACAAGAAUCCUAUGAAAGAUAUAAAUGU
rnacentral:lncRNA from 1 species